CCCGAUGACCGGGCCCCUCUGGCGGAAGUGACGGCGCUUCCGUGAUGUCGGCAUCGAAA
rfam:Loktanella cinnabarina LL-001 DNA, contig: LCI022.